UAAGACAGAGGGUGCAAACGUUGUUCGGAAUUACUGGGCGUAAAGCGCGUGUAGGCUGCCCUGCAAGUCAGGUGUGAAAGCCCUGGGCUCAACCUAGGAAGUGCACUUGAAACUGCGGGGAUCGAGGGCUGGAGAGGGAAGCGGAAUUCUCGGUGUAGAGGUGAAAUUCGUAGAUAUCGAGAGGAACACCGGUGGCGAAGGCGGCUUCCUGGACAGUUACUGACGCUGAGACGCGAAAGCGUGGGGAGCAAACAGGAUUAGAUACCCUGGUAGUCCACGCCGUAAACGAUGGGUGCUAGGUGUCGCGGGCUUUGACCCCUGCGGUGCCGUAGCUAACGCAUUAAGCACCCCGCCUGGGGAGUACGGUCGCAAGACUA
rnacentral:rRNA from 1 species